ACAAGUUCUUUAUCCUUCCGUGGUCCCAGUUUCCUAUAAAUGGGCUUUCUAGGAUGGGAACAGAGACAUGAAAGGGUUCAGUCAAGGUCCUCCAGCAAGGAAAUAGGCAACAUUGCCUUUGACAGGGCAAUGCUCAUAUCUUCUAAGAUACGGCAGGGGCCAUGUCUGUAUGGAGCUGCAAGAGGGGUAUUGUGCAUGGGUCACAUUCAUGGGCUCUGCCUUGGCUCCUUGUCUGUGUGACCUUGGACAAGAAACAAACUGCACUGUAGAACCUGCAUAGCAGCACCCACACAGCAGCUCUGGAGGUUGACUGGCUUGAUUCAUGGCCUCUAGGCGCUAUUGUCAUCUAGCUCAGCCUCCUCAUUUUGCAAAGAUACAGUGUCUUGAUCAGUGUAGCAUGGCUGACUAGUGUCCCAGUCCCCUUAGAUUGUGUCUUAGACCGAGAGGCCUGUCUCAGAGCCCAUCUCUGGCAGCUUCCAUCUUCCUGACAGAUGAGGCAAGAAACCUAGAGAGACAGUGACCUGUUGAGGGCACCUAGCCUGAUGGAGGGAGAGGUGUCUCUGAUAUUUGGGGAACAGAGGAUCAAGACAGGCUAGGAAGAGCCAGGCUGCCCAACAAGGUUUUCUGCGGGGUGGAUGAUGCAUUUUUGCCAGUGUGUUGGCCCCAGGACCUUGCCAAUUGGUUUUUAUAAGCUUAGUCAUCUAAUGGUGCCAUUAAAGACCCUGAAGGGUAGGUGUUUCCCAUUAAAUUAUCACAAUUAGUUGUCCCACUUAGCCAAUGACAGCCUUAAACCUUUGGGAGAUGCCCCAGGUCACAAAAUUAGUGACCAGCAGGGUUGGGAUGCAGGCCUACAGAACCGUGCAGAUUCUGUCCACUUUUGUGCUGGACCUCCUACUCCUCCCCUCUCGGCCUUCUCGGAAAGGCCAUCUCUGUAGGUCCCUCGACCUGCUGUCCAACCUCUGCUUGAAUCCCUUGUAACUGGGAACUCAUUCCUUCCUGAGAUAGUUCUGUUCUUUCUACCUGUCAGAAUCCUUACAACCCUACCCAUUCUAACUAGCUCUGCAGAGACCUACACCCCACACUGAUGCCUGGGAGAAGAGUGGUCUCUGAAAGGAUCAGAAACCCCAUCAUUACUGUUCCUAUGUGUACAGUUCCUGUGUUACAGUGUUUCCUAGCUGAAGGUGCUGUUUUGGAGGUUGUAGAACUUUUAGGAAAUGAAAUCUAGGAGGAAGUAGGUCAUUUGGAGAAGGCCUUGAGAUUGUAUAGCCCAGUGCCACUUCCUGCCCACCCGGUGCUUCCUAACUACAGACUCAGUGUGACUCGCCAUCUGGUGACCCUGCUACCAUCUUUUCCCUCCAUCAUGGGCUGUGUCCUUUCUCAAACUGUAAGUAAAAACAAACCAUUUCUAAAUAGCAGCUUGUCAUAGCAAUGAUAAAAGUCACUAGUAGAGAAAAUUGGUAUCAUGAGCAGGGUUUUCUCUAUCAUAAACCUGACCAGGUGGUUCUGAGGUCAUUGGAAUUGGUUUGCAGGAGGAGUGUGGGAGAACUUGGGGCUAUGGACUAAAGGACCCCCUAGAAAGCUGUAAGCAGAGCUCAAAGGGACAUUCUGGAGUGAGUUUGGAGGACAAGAAUGCCAAGAGAAGAAAAUAGAGGCCUAGGUCACGAGGUUUCAGAGGGGAACAAAGACUAUCGAUUAGUGAGCUAGAAGUCAUUUGUAUUACAUCCCAACAAAGACUCUGGGUGCAUUCUGCCCACGUUCUAGAGGCCAAAUAAAGUCAAACUAAAAGAAUAGAGAACUAAUUUGUUUGGUAGAAGAAGUCUCAAGACAAGAUAUAACAGUCUUCAGGUUUUGUCAUGGUUACUGCUCACUGCUUGUAUCCAGGUCUACAGUGAGAGGAGGAACAAGAGAAGCAGAAAGAUAUGAAAAUGUAUAGUUUAGUGGGGGGAAGGAGGGCAUUUACAGUUGCAGGCAAGACACAUGCAAGAGCAGUUGUUGUUGAAAGGGUCAC
ensembl:lncRNA